GACGAACGCUGGCGGCGUGCUUAACACAUGCCAGUCGAACGGAAAGGCCCUGCUUUUGUGGGGUGCUCGAGUGGCGAACGGGUGAGUAACACGUGAGUAACCUGCCCUUGACUUUGGGAUAACUUCAGGAAACUGGGGCUACUACCGGAUAGGAGCUCCUGCUGCAUGGAGGGGGGUGGAAAGUUUCGGCCGUUGGGGAUGGACUCGCGGCUUAUCAGCUUGUUGGUGGGGUAGUGGCUUACCAAGGCAUUGACUGGUAGCCGGCCUGAGAGGGUGACCGGGCACAUGGGGACUGAGAGACGGCCCAGACUCCUAUGGGAGGCAGCAGUGGGGAAUAUUGCACAAUGGGCGGAAGCCUGAUGAAGCAACGCCGCGUUCGGGAUGACGGCCUUUGGGUUGUAAACCGCUUUCGCCUGUGACGAAGCGGGAGUGACGGUAAUGGGUAAAGAAGCACCGGCUAACUACGUG
rnacentral:rRNA from 1 species